GAUGAACGCUGGCGGCGUGCCUAAUACAUGCAAGUCGAGCGAGAAUUUUUCAAAUGACACUUCGGUUGAUUUUGGAAAAGGACAGCGGCGGACGGGUGAGUAGCGCGUAGGCAACCUGCCCCUGACAGAGGGAUAGCCAUUGGAAACGAUGAUUAAAACCUCAUAACGCCGAAGGAACACAUGCUUCAUCGGCCAAAGAUUUAUCGGUCAGGGAUGGGCCUGCGUCUGAUUAACUAGUUGGUGAGGUAACGGCUCACCAAGGUGACGAUCAGUAGCCGACCUGAGAGGGUGAUCGGCCACAUUGGAACUGAGACACGGUCCAAACUUCAACGGAAGGCAGCAGUAGGGAAUCUUGCACAAUGGGCGAAAGCCUGAUGCAGCAACGCCGCGUGAAGGAUGAAGGCCUUCGGGUUGUAAACUUCUGUUCUUAGGGAAGAAGAAAGUGACGGUACCUAAGGAGAAAGCCCCGGCUAACUACGUGCCAGCAGCCGCGGUAA
rnacentral:rRNA from 1 species